rnacentral:rRNA from 1 species
GAUGAACGCUGGCGGCGUGCCUAAUACAUGCAAGUCGAGCGAACAGACGAGGAGCUUGCUCCUCUGACGUUAGCGGCGGACGGGUGAGUAACACGUGGAUAACCUACCUAUAAGACUGGGAUAACUUCGGGAAACCGGAGCUAAUACCGGAUAAUAUAUUGAACCGCAUGGUUCAAUAGUGAAAGACGGUUUUGCUGUCACUUAUAGAUGGAUCCGCGCCGCAUUAGCUAGUUGGUAAGGUAACGGCUUACCAAGGCAACGAUGCGUAGCCGACCUGAGAGGGUGAUCGGCCACACUGGAACUGAGACACGGUCCAGACUCCUACGGGAGGCAGCAGUAGGGAAUCUUCCGCAAAGGGCGAAAGCCUGACGGAGCAACGCCGCGUGAGUGAUGAAGGUCUUCGGAUCGUAAAACUCUUUUAUUAGGGAAGAACAAAUGUGUAAGUAACUAUGCACGUCUUGACGGUACCUAAUCAGAAAGCCACGGCUAACUACGUG